rnacentral:rRNA from 1 species
GGGGGGGGGGGGGGGGGGGGCGGGGGGGGGGGGGGCGGGCGGACGGGCGGGGGGCGGGCUGGUGGGAUGGGAGCGGCGGGCGGGUGAGUGGCACGUGGGUACCCUCCCUAUAGGACGGGGAUGACGGCGGGGAACCGGAGCUACUACCGGAUAAUAUUUUGAACCGCAUGGUGCAACAGGGAAAGACGGUCUUGCUGUCACUUAUCGAUGGAUCCGCGCUGCAUUAGCUAGUUGGUAAGGUAACGUCUUCGCAGGGCAACGAUGCAUAGCCGACCUGAGAGGGUGAUCGGCCACACUGGAACUGAGACACGGUCCAGACUCCUACGGGAGGCAGCAGUAGGGAAUCUUCCGCAAUGGGCGAAAGCCUGACGGAGCAACGCCGCGUGAGUGAUGAAGGUCUUCGGAUCGUAAAACUCUGUUAUUAGGGAAGAACAUAUGUGUAAGUAACUGUGCACAUCUUGACGGUACCUAAUCAGAAAGCCACGGCUAACUACGUG